rnacentral:rRNA from 1 species
GAUGAACGCUGGCGGCGUGCCUAAUACAUGCAAGUCGAGCGAACAGACGAGGAGCUUGCUCCUCUGACGUUAGCGGCGGACGGGUGAGUAACACGUGGAUAACCUACCUAUAAGACUGGGAUAACUUCGGGAAACCGGAGCUAAUACCGGAUAAUAUAUUGAACCGCAUGGUUCAAUAGUGAAAGACGGUUUUGCUGUCACUUAUAGAUGGAUCCGCGCCGCAUUAGCUAGUUGGUAAGGUAACGGCUUACCAAGGCAACGAUGCGUAGACGACCUGGGAGGGGGGCGGCCCCCAGGGGAGCUGGAACGGCCCCAAGCGCCCUGGGGGGGGCGCCAGAGGGCAAUGCCCGGCAGGGGGGGAAAACAUGGCGUAACGCGCCGGAGUGAGAUGGAGUGUUGUCGGGCGAGAAAAACUGUUUUUUGGGGAAAAAAAAAAUUUCAACAUACAUGAACAGUACGUGACGGUACCUAAAGAAAAAGCCACGGCAAACUACGUG